ensembl:processed_transcript A430072P03Rik RIKEN cDNA A430072P03 gene
ACAGAUUGACAGGAGCUGCGGGCGCUGGUAGCAGGCAGCUCGCACGGCUCCCGUGGGCACCCCAAUCCUGUCGACUGUUUGGGCAGCAUCGCCCCGAUCGCGGCCGUGAAUCACCGGACCCCGGUGCCACCGGCCUGGAGUCCGGCCACUGGCCACCGGCCACCGCGUCCGCAGAAAGAAACCUGCGCCUCAGGCCCCGAAAUAACUUGUUGUGGAAACACUUGAGGAUAAAUACGCCCAACGAAGCUGAAAAUACCUUGACACCCAAUCCCAGAGUCACCUAUUUAUCUGCAGGACCAUCUCGCAUAGCUAUUGAUAAAGACGACGGGUACUCACUUGAUGGUAAUCUCCUGAGCACUUGAGAGGCCGAGGCAGGAAGGCCACAAAUAAACAACAAAAGACUUGAAAUGUGAAUAAAGAUGAUGAGAUGAUA